AUUGAACGCUGGCGGCAGGCCUAACACAUGCAAGUCGAGCGGGGUUUUCGGACCUAGCGGCGGACGGGUGAGUAAUGCGUAGGAAGCUGCCCGAUAGAGGGGGAUACCAGUUGGAAACGACUGUCAAUACCGCAUAAUGUCUACGGACCAAAGUGUGGGACCUUCGGGCCACAUGCUAUCGGAUGCGCCUACGUGGGAUUAGCUAGUUGGUGAGGUAAUGGCUCACCAAGGCGACGAUCUCUAGCUGGUUUGAGAGGAUGAUCAGCCACACUGGAACUGAGACACGGUCCAGGCUCCUACGGGAGGCAGCGGUGGGGAAUAUUGGACAAUGGGCGCAAGCCUGAUCCAGCCAUGCCGCGUGUGUGAAGAAGGCCUUCGGGUUGUAAAGCACUUUCAGCGAGGAGGAAGGGGUGUGUGUUAAUAGUACACACCUUUGACGUUACUCGCAGAAGAAGCACCGGCUAACUCUGUGCCAGCAGCCGCAGUAACAC
rnacentral:rRNA from 1 species